rnacentral:pre_miRNA from 1 species
AAAAAGACAAACCCUGGUUUCCGUGUCCAACGUUUGACCGUCCGUCUUAUUUGAAAAAUUAUGAAAAAAAUUAAAAAGACAAGUCACGCAUAAAAUAUUAAUCAUGUUUUAUCAUCUAACAACAAUGAAAAUAUGAAUUAUAAAAAAAUUUCAUAUAAGACGGACAGUCAAAGUUGGACACGGAAACCCAGGGUUUGCCUUUUU